rnacentral:lncRNA from 1 species
UGUUAAGCCACCUCUGAGCAGUAUAUGUCAGGACUUGUUCAUUAGGUUGGCAGCAGAGGGGCAGAAGGAAUUAUACAGGCAGAGAUGUAUGCAGAUGUGUCCAUAUAUGUCCAUAUUUACAUUUUGAUAGCCAUUGAUGGAAAUACACUUUGCUAAUAUUUUAAUGGUGUAGCUCUGCUAAUGCAUUCUCUUAAAAACAUACUUAGUGUAUUCUGUUGCUGUGUGUUUCAUUUUAAAUUGAGCAUUAAGGGAAUGCAGCAUUUAAAUCGGAACUCUGCCAAUGCUUUUAUCUAGAGGCGUGUUGCCA